rnacentral:tRNA from 1 species
CCGGGGUAGCUCAGCCUGGUCAGAGAAAAUAUUACCUACAGGUAAUAUUUCUGCAACGGCGGGCUGUUAACCCGUCGGUCAGCGGUUCAAAUCCGCUCCCCGGCG